AUUUCAGUUAUAUAGUAAUGAUCUUUUUAAAGUCAAAUAACGUUCCCCUGGUCCCCUGGAUUCCACCCUUCUACUAUAGUAGAGUGCCGGACAUGUCCACAGUUUAAUCUUAAAAUAUGGCUCCCUGGAGAGAAUUCAUACUUCUUCAAGCUGCCUGGAGCUGAAGAACUGGCCUGUGCUUUUGUAAAUGUCUGGUUUUGUUUGUUUUGUUGAAUUAGGGGCUAAGGUGGAGAAGGAAAAUGCUGGCAACUAUCCACUGCUCAAAGAGUUCACACAUAUUCUUAUAAUUUCUCUAAUAAUACUUCUUUGGAGCUAGAACAGACUAUCAUCGAGUUCUCCAUUGGAAUUUUGUAAGAUUCUUAGACCCAAACCAGGAAAAAAGUGUAAUAAUUUGAGAAUUCAAAAGGCCCACACAGCAGGCCUUGUAGAGUUCGUCUAGGGGUCAAUCACAGAACCCUUUCUUGUGGCAUAAUUUAUACCUUUAACAUUUGGCAGUUUUUAAAGUCCUGUGUCAAUGCACAUGUGUUGGUAAGAAGUAGUAAAUAUUUUGCUGACAAGUUCUUUGAAAGACGGAUCAGUGGCAGCGUUUAAAGGCAGACAACCUGAGGGUUUCUUUCAUCCAGGUGCUGCCAA
rnacentral:lncRNA from 1 species